UUCAUUAUCUUCAUUUUUGCUUCCGGGUGUCAAUUCCCAACAUCUGGCUAUUAAAGGGGAAUUGAGAAAAGUAGCAGCAGGCAUUGCCCGAUACAUUUUUCAAGCAAAACUUACUAUGUAUUUUAAUUUUAAAAAAUAAAUAAUUUUUUACGUACAA